rnacentral:rRNA from 1 species
UACGGGGGGGGCAAGCGUUGUUCGGAAUUACUGGGCGUAAAGGGCUCGUAGGCGGCCAACUAAGUCGGAUGUGAAAUCCCCAGGCUUAACCUGGGAACUGCAUCCGAUACUGGAUGGCUUGAAUUCGGGAGAGGGAUGCAGAAUUCCAGGUGUAGCGGUGAAAUGCGUAGAUACCAGGAGGAACACCGGUGGCGAAGGCGGUUUCCUGGCCGAGUACUGACGCUGAGGCACGAAAGCGUGGGGAGCGAACGGG